AUUGAACGCUGGCGGCAGGCCUAACACAUGCAAGUCGAGCGGCAGCGGAAAGUAGCUUGCUACUUUGCCGGCGAGCGGCGGACGGGUGAGUAAUGUCUGGGAAACUGCCUGAUGGAGGGGGAUAACUACUGGAAACGGUAGCUAAUACCGCAUAACGUCGCAAGACCAAAGAGGGGGACCUUCGGGCCUCUUGCCAUCAGAUGUGCCCAGAUGGGAUUAGCUAGUAGGUGGGGCAACGGCUCACCUAGGCGACGAUCCCUAGCUGGUCUGAGAGGAGGACCAGCCACACUGGAACGGAGACACGGUCCAGACUCCUACGGGAGGCAGCAGUGGGGAAUAUUGCACAAUGGGCGCAAGCCUGAUGCAGCCAUGCCGCGUGUAUGAAGAAGGCCUUCGGGUUGUAAAGUACUUUCAGCGGGGAGGAAGGUGUUAAGGUUAAUAACCUCAGCAAUUGACGUUACCCGCAGAAGAAGCACCGGCUAACUCCGUGCCAGCCGCCGCCGUAAUAC
rnacentral:rRNA from 1 species